rnacentral:rRNA from 1 species
AUUGAACGCUGGCGGAAUGCUUUACACAUGCAAGUCGAACGGCAGCACGGACUUCGGUCUGGUGGCGAGUGGCGAACGGGUGCGUAAUGGAUCGGAACGUGCCCAGUCGGGGGGGAUAACGUAGUGAAAAUUACGCUAAUACCGCAUACGAUCUAUGGAUGAAAGCGGGGGAUCGCAAGACCUCGCGCGAUUGGAGCGGCCGAUAUCAGAUUAGGUAGUUGGUGGGGUAAAGGCCCACCAAGCCAACGAUCUGUAGCUGGUCUGAGAGGACGACCAGCCACACUGGAACUGAGACACGGUCCAGACUCCUACGGGAGGCAGCAGUGGGGAAUUUUGGACAAUGGGCGAAAGCCUGAUCCAGCCAUUCCGCGUGCAGGAUGAAGGCCCUCGGGUUGUAAACUGCUUUUGUACAGAACGAAAAGGUUUCUACUAAUACUAGGAGCUCAUGACGGUACUGUAAGAAUAAGCACCGGCUAACUACGUGCCAGCCGCCGCAGUAA